rnacentral:rRNA from 1 species
UACAGAGGGUGCGAGCGUUGUCCGGAAUCACUGGGCGUAAAGGGCGCGUAGGUGGCCCGACAAGUCAGUGGUGAAAGUUCGACGCUUAACGUCGAAUCGGCCACUGAUACUGUUGGGCUGGAGCACUGUAGAGGCUCAUGGAAUUCCGGGUGUAGCGGUGGAAUGCGUAGAGAUCCGGAAGAACACCGGUGGCGAAGGCGGUGAGCUGGGCAGUUGCUGACACUGAGGCGCGACAGCGUGGGGAGCAAAGCAGGG